AGUAGGCUACUACAUUCGGACAUGGCGGAAGGAAGCAGGAGCAGGCUACUAAUGGAGAGCAAGAAGAAGCAUAUUUUUUUUUAGAGAGAGGAAGGAUUAAAUGUACAACAGAAGAGUAGACAAUACUCGAAAGGCAACACUUUUGGAAAGGGAUUGAUGCGUUUUGAUACUACUGGAUGCAUGUUCAGGAACGGGUGAAUCGAGUCAGUUCCGGAGUCUUCAGGAGCAUCAUCAUCAGCUGCCGCUGCCCAGGGUCCUGCCCAACCUGGCCCGUAUCCGGCGCAGUGUGGACCACAAUCAGGAGGCGCUGCAUGCCAUCAUGCUCGACUGUGUUGUGUCAUUUAAUGAUUGAUUUGGGCCAAAUCAAUUGCCUAGCAUAUAAAAUUAGCCCCAUGCAAUCCUCUUUGGAAAAAAAUAUUUAUUGUUGGUGAUCAUUUUCUCACACUACUGUUGUUCAGCUCAUCUAACUUUCCUCUGUUCUGUCCUUCCUCCUUCUUGAGGUGUGAAAAGGUCAACUCCAUGACCCUGUACCUGUGGAUCCACCAGUUCAGCAACAACAAGAGGUCAUCUGGCGUCAACCCCCAGAGCCUGCCUCCAAACUCUUGACUUCUCCAUGGUGGCCGGGGACUUCCAGGACGUCUUCACAGAGCCUAGUGAGUGACACUGGGACUGUGUGGCUACCUGCUUCUUCAUCAACACGGCGCACAAUGUCAUCGACUAUGUGGAGACCAUCUGGAACUUUCUCAAAUCUGGAGGCGUAUGGAUCAAUCUUGGCCCGCUGCUGUACCACUUUGAGAACAUGGCCAACGAGCUCAGCUACGAGGACGUCAGGGUGGCCAUUUUAAAAUAUGGAUUCCAUUUGGAGGUGGAGAGAGUCUGUCCCCACCACCUACACUAAGAGUGAUCAGUCCAUGCUGAAGUACCUGUAUGACAGACUGGAAGCGUUGCCACGACGAGAGAGCUGUGGCAGUCUGACAUUACAGCGCAACAACCGAUUGGCUGCCGUCGAGAGCAUUUAAAAAAAAAAAUAAUAAUUUUUUUUUAAGAGUAAGAAGACAAACACAAGACAAUGGAAAGCUUUACUUUAAAUGUGCUUAUUUUCUAUAUAACUCUAUAUGAACUCCCCAAUCACCUUACGUCCAAGCCUUUGAGAUUGAGACGGACACCUAUAAUGGACUGAUAUGACUAAAUCAUUCAGCCCAUGGACUGUUUGUCUUCAGUUAGAUGUAAGGUCAUGUCUCCAUGCUGACCUGAUGUGGUUGCAUGCGUGUUAGACCCGCCUCUACAGCUUCCCAAUGUAUUUAUUUUGUAAAAUACAGUGACCAACUCUGGCUAUUUAUAGUAUUUUCUCACUGGGAAAAGUCCGUUGCUGGAGUUGGUAAUACUGAGGGUCGGACAAAGUUGUUUUAAACUAAUUAUAUGAUUUGAAUUUCAGCAUUACAAACUGGAUCUAGCUACUGCCUCACGUAAUAAUAAAGGAAAACACAAUUUUAAGAAAAAAA